CUGACAGUACUGGAGCCUGAAGUCUGAUUAUCCACAGACCAGGCAGCAGCCAUGUCCUUUAUUCUACACUGCCCUGCCAAUGUGCUUCAGCUUUGACCUGGAGGGAUCACCUCUAGGAACUAAGUGAGUAAUUCAGUCUCUCUGUCCAGUCAGAUCAUGGCUCUC
rnacentral:sRNA from 1 species